CAGAGUGCGGGAAAUCAAUGCGGUUCAAAUAGGCUCAUGGACGAAGGAGUGCUAAUUCUCUCCAGAUUUCACCCGAAGGUGCAGGUUUCAAGGCUGAACGCGGUGACUGAGCAUCCUAACAUUUCAAAAUUCAAAGGUUCAAGCUUCAAGGUUUUACUUCAAAAGGAUGUUUUUGCUGAAUUGAUCAAGACUGACUAAGAGUGUAAACAUCGGGUAACUAUGAUGUUCAAGCCCUCUCAAGAACAGGGUUUGGAACCAGGGCCAGUUCCAUGGAAGGACAUGGUACAUAAGAUUGAGACAGCAAAAGGAGAACAGACAGCUGCCCAGGAAUGGCAUCAGCUCAACAACGCAGGGAUCACAUCUUCAUCUUGUCAUGUGAGGGGUGAAAUUGUACAGAGAAUGCUCUAUUUUGAGACAUAUGUCAGAAUACUGGAGAACAAGGAGAACAAAGUAUUUGACACCAUUAUUGUGCCCACUAUAUCAGAUGAACUAUCUGAUCUCCAAGUGAACUGUGUAACAUAACUCAGUGAGAUCCUUACCCAAGCUUUAACCAGGGGGUUGUUUUGAUAAUAUUUAUGAAGCAGACAUCUGCACUGCCAGCAGUUGUCGGAGGGAUAAUGGUGUCAAAAAUUUUGUUCUCCUUGAUGCUUCUAAUUGCUCUCUCCACAGAUAUCAUUAGACGUGCAAUGUUCUUUUGUGUGUGCAGUGAGAUUUGUACUGUGAAAAAUUUUAUGCUAGUAUUCUGACUUGGCAUCAUGGUUCCAGUCAUCUCACGAGAGAGCCAUAUCCUAAUUGCAUUGACUAAGGUGGAUAAAUUUCAUGAUGUUCUGCCACUUUUUCAUAGUUCAGCAACAGGUAGUUUAGGUAACUUCAGCUUGUUUAGCUUUUAUUCAGUGUUUGUGUUAGAAAUGUCAUAAGUCUUAUAAAUAAUCACAUUUUUAACUAGAUUACAAUAUUUUUGCUAUUUGUACUGUUAUUUUUCUUUUUCUGUGUGUG